AGGAUGAACGCUGGCGGCAUGCCUAACACAUGCAAGUCGAUCGGUAAGGCCCUUCGGGGUACACGAGAGGCGGACGGCUGAGUAACGCGUGGGAACGCACCCUACACUGAGGGAUAAGAUACCGAAAGGUGUUCUAAUACCGCAUACGGUCUUCGGAUUAAAGUCUUCGGACGGUGAAGGAGCGGCCCGCGUCAUAUUAGGUAGUUGGUGGGGUAAUGGCCUACCAAGCCGAUGAUGUGUAGCUGGUCUGAGAGGAUGAUCAGCCAGACUGGAACUGAGAACGGUCCAGACUCCUACGGGAGGCAGCAGUGAGGAAUAUUCCACAAUGGGCGAAAGCCUGAUGGAGCAAUGCCGCGUGCAGGAUGAAGGCCCUCGGGUCGUAAACUGCUUUUAUUAGAGAAGAAUAUGACGGUAACUAAUGAAUAAGGGACGGCUAACUACGUGCCAGCAGCCGCGGUCAUACGUAGGUCCCAAGCGUUAUCCGGAGUGACUGGGCGUAAAGAGUUGCGUAGGCGGCUAAGUAAGCGAGUAAUGAAAACUAUCGGCUCAACCGGUAGCCUGUUAUUCGAACUGCUUGGCUCGAGAUUAUCAGAGGUCGCUGGAAUUCCUAGUGUAGCAGUGAAAUGCGUAGAUAUUAGGAAGAACACCAAUGGCGUAGGCAGGCGACUGGGGUAUUUCUGACGCUAAGGCACGAAAGCGUGGGGAGCGAACCGGAUUAGAUACCCGGGUAGUCCACGCCGUAAACGAUGGAUGCUAAUUGUUCGGGGUAUCGACCCCUUGAGUAAUAAAGCUAACGCGUUAAGCAUCCCGCCUGUGGAGUACGGGCCGCAAGGCUAAAACAUAAAGGAAAUUGACGGGGACCCGCACAAGCGGUGGGAGGAUGUUCUUUUAAUUCGAUGAUAGCGAAGAAUCUUUACCAGGGCUUGACAUCCCUAGAAUUUC
rnacentral:rRNA from 1 species